UACGGAGGGUGCGAGCGUUGUCCGGAAUCACUGGGCGUAAAGGGCGCGUAGGCGGCCCUGGCAGUCGGUGGUGAAAGCCCCGCGGCUCAACUGCGGGUCGGCCACCGAUACUCCAGGGCUCGAGUUUGGUAGAGGCGAGAUGGAAUUCCGGGUGUAGCGGUGGAAUGCGUAGAGAUCCGGAAGAACACCGGUGGCGAAGGCGGUCUGACUGG
rnacentral:rRNA from 1 species